GUGAGGAAUAUUGCGCAAUGGAGGCAACUCUGACGCAGCCAUGCCGCGUGCAGGAUGAAGGCGCUACGCGUUGUAAACUGCUUUUAAUCGGGAAGAAACCCCGGGACGUGUCCCGGGUUGACGGUACCGAUGGAAUAAGCACCGGCUAACUUCGUGCCAGCAGCCGCGGUAAUACGAAGGGUGCAAGCGUUAUCCGGAUUCAUUGGGUUUAAAGGGUGCGUAGGCGGAACAAUAAGUCAGCGGUGAAAGCCCGUAGCUUAACUACGGAAUUGCCGUUGAUACUGUUGUUCUUGAGUACGUUUGACGUGGGCGGAAUGUGCCGUGUAGCGGUGAAAUGCUUAGAUAUGGCACAGAACACCGAUAGUGAAGACAGCUCACGAAGACGAAACUGACGCUGAGGCACGAAAGCGUGGGGAUCAAACAGGAUUAGAAACCCUUGUAGUCC
rnacentral:rRNA from 1 species